rnacentral:rRNA from 1 species
AAUGAACGUUGGCGGCAUGGAUUAGGCAUGCAAGUCGCACGAGAACCCAAUUAGCUUGCUAAGAGGGGGACAGUGGCGAAAGGGAGAGUAACGCGUGGUUACUUGCCCUCGAGACCGGGAUAGCGUCGGGAAACUGGCAGUAAUACCGGAUAACAUCUACGGAUCAACUGGUGUGAUUCCGCUCGAGGAUAGGACCGCGUACUAUUAGCUUGUUGGUGAGGUAAUGGCUCACCAAGGCUGCGAUGGUUACCGGGUGUGAGAGCAUGGCCCGGCUCACUGGGACUGAGACACUGACCAGACAUCUACGGAUGGCUGCAGUCGAGAAUCUUCGGCAAUGGACGAAAGUCUGACCGAGCGAUGCCGCGUGCGGGAUGAAGGCCCUCGGGUUGUAAACAGCUGUCAGUUGUUAGGAAAUGCUAGGGGGUUCUCCCCUUAGUUUGACCGAUCUUCAGAGGAAGGACGGGCUAAGUUCGUGCCAGCAGCCGCCGUAAGAC